UUUUUGGUGCCUGCAAAUUCUCUCUAUUUUGAUCUGUUUUAGAAGGUGCAAAAUAACAAAAUGGGAACAAGAAUGAAACUUCUUGUACAAGUGUUGGUUGCUAUAAUCACCAACCUUUCCUAUGUAAUAGCGCUCUGUUGUAGUCUGUGUCUCAGUGUGUACGUCACAUUUAGCUGCUCCUUAAAUGGUGUUGCUGUUUGCACCAGAAUGCUGAGGGAUACCCUAAUCAUUUGCAUGGUACAUAAUUUAGGUCACGCAGUUUCUGCUUCUAAUGUGAGCGAAAGAAUUGCAAGAUUGUGUAAGCAAUGACACAAUUGAGAAUAUAUGACUGUUGCCGUAUAAUUUGGAGUUGACAAAGCACAUUCUGCUUCUCGUAUGCCUGACUUGCCAAUUGUAAAAAGUGACUUAAGUUUUGGUCUCUGUCCCAUCUUGUU